UAAGCAGGCUGCAAUUACAGUGCUUCAUUUUGUGGAAGGACUGCCAUUAACCUGCUGAGAAAAAACAUCCUGCUUCAGAGUCUCAUCUUACCACCGGGUGUGAUAAGAACUCUCUGUUGUGGGGACAACU